UCCGGUCAUAUCCCGUUGAAACACCUGUUCCCGUACGACCACCGAAGUUAAGCAACAUGGAGUUGGGUCAGUGGAGCCUAGAUGAGUGACCGUUUGAGAAUAACAUGUGUUGUAA